rnacentral:sRNA from 1 species
AGAGACUGACGCAGGGCAUGGAAGGGCCC